rnacentral:rRNA from 1 species
UGGCCUACGGGGGGCAGCAGUAGGGAAUUUUCGUCAAUGGGCGCAAGCCUGAACGAGCAAUGCCGCGUGAACGAGGAAGGUCUUCGGAUCGUAAAGUUCUGUUGAAGGGGAAAAAGAGCGGAGAGAGGAAAUGGUCUCCGAUUGAUAUUACCCUUCGAGGAAGUCACGGCUAACUACGUGCCAGCAGCCGCGGUAAUACGUAGGUGGCGAGCGUUAUCCGGAAUGAUUGGGCGUAAAGGGUGCGUAGGCGGCCUGCUAAGUCAGCGGUCAAAGCCCGGGGCUCAACCCCGGCCCGCCGUUGAAAC